rnacentral:rRNA from 1 species
UAAUACGUAGGGGGCAAGCGUUGUCCGGAUUUAUUGGGCGUAAAGAGCGUGUAGGCGGCCAGGUAGGUCCGGUGUGAAAACUCGAGGCUUAACCUCAAGAUGUCAUCGGAAACCAUCUGGCUAGAGUCCGGAAGAGGAGAGUGGAAUUCCUGGUGUAGCGGUGAAAUGCGCAGAUAUCAGGAAGAACACCAAUGGCGAAAGCAGCUCUCUGGGACGGUACUGACGCUGAGACGCGAAAGCGUGGGGAGCGAACAGGA